AACGAACGCUGGCGGCAGGCCUAACACAUGCAAGUCGAGCGCCCCGCAAGGGGAGCGGCGGACGGGUGAGUAACGCGUGGGAACGUGCCUCUUGCUACGGAAUAGCCUCGGGAAACUGGGAGUAAUACCGUAUGUGCCCUACGGGGGAAAGAUUUAUCGGCAAGAGAUCGGCCCGCGUUGGAUUAGGUAGUUGGUGGGGUAAUGGCCUACCAAGCCGACGAUCCAUAGCUGGUUUGAGAGGAUGAUCAGCCACACUGGGACUGAGACACGGCCCAGACUCCUACGGGAGGCAGCAGUGGGGAAUCUUAGACAAUGGGCGCAAGCCUGAUCUAGCCAUGCCGCGUGAGCGAUGAAGGCCUUAGGGUUGUAAAGCUCUUUCAGUGGGGAAGAUAAUGACUGUACCCACAGAAGAAGCCCCGGCUAACUCCGUGCCAGCAGCCGCGGAAU
rnacentral:rRNA from 1 species